UACGUAGGGGGCAAGCGUUGUCCGGAAUCAUUGGGCGUAAAGCGCGUGUAGGCGGCUCGAUAAGUCUGCUGUGAAAGUCCAGGGCUCAACCCUGGGAUGCCGGUGGAUACUGUCGAGCUCGAGUCCGGAAGAGGAGUGUGGAAUUCCUGGUGUAGCGGUGAAAUGCGCAGAUAUCAGGAGGAACACCAAUAGCGAAGGCAGCACUCUGGUACGUGACUGACGCUGAGACGCGAAAGCGUGGGGAGCAAACAGG
rnacentral:rRNA from 1 species